rnacentral:rRNA from 1 species
AACGAACGCUGGCGGCGUGCCUAAUACAUGCAAGUCGAGCGAACUUGCGGGAGCUUGCUCCCAAAAGUUAGCGGCGGACGGGUGAGUAACACGUGGGCAACCUGCCUAUAAGACUGGGAUAACUUCGGGAAACCGGAGCUAAUACCGGAUAAUUCCUUUCCUCUCGUGAGGGAAGGUUGAAAGACGGUUUCGGCUGUCACUUAUAGAUGGGCCCGCGGCGGAUUAGCUAGUUGGUGAGGUAACGGCUCACCAAGGCGACGAUGCGUAGCCGACCUGAGAGGGUGAUCGGCCACACUGGGACUGAGACACGGCCCAGACUCCUACGGGAGGCAGCAGUAGGGAAUCUUCCGCAAUGGACGAGAGUCUGACGGAGCAACGCCGCGUGAGUGAUAAAGGUUUUCGGAUCGUAAAACUCUGUUGUUAGGGAAGAACAAGUACGAGAGUAACUGCUCGUACCUUGACGGUACCUAACCAGAAAGCCACGGCUAACUACGUGCCAGCAGCCGCGGUAAUAC